AUGGCGGCUGCGAGCGCGGAGAAGCUGCUUCCUCCUUCUCCCUCGUUCUCGCGGCGUCUCUGCGCUGUGACGUCAGACGCACAACGUAAGACCCGGCAGGGCGGGAGCUCCAUGGAGAGGCUCCGCCCCCACGUCCCGCCCCUGAGGAGGUGCCGCCGUCAGGGCCGCGGCUCUGAGGGCAGUGGGGAGGUUUUCUUUACGUCCCGUCCUAACCCAACCCACCCCACAUGCUGGGCAUCGACUUUACCCGAAUCUUCAUGGCUUUGUAAGCCAACCUCAUGGAAAAAUUCAAACAUGGGGGCUUGGAGCUGCCCCCUCUGCCGUGUGCAAUCUCAUGGAUCGCGGAGCGGUUCCUGCCCCGUUCCGGGGAUGGCGGAUCCAGCCGAGUCAUGUCCUGACACAGGUGUGUCUAGGAAGACAAUCUGGAUUUUAUUUCUUGCUGGAAGGCUGAUGACAAACCAGUGGCUGGUAUUCCUGGCAGGGCAGAGAAGAUGGGAUGUGACAGGAUCACACUGUCUGCCUUUCUUGCCUUGCUACCUCUUCUAAGUUUUUACUGGAUUUUACUUUUAAUAAUUUCCUCUCACCUUUUAAAUGGAUGCCAGGGCCUCUAACAGGACAUAGCAGUUCAGAAACAAUUCUGGGAAAUCACAUUUAAUGGGAAAAAAAGGAAAUUAAUGCAGAAGAGAUUCUCAGAACUGGCUACCUUUGGAAGAAGGAAAAUUUUAGGUUCUAGGAGAUUUUGGUUCUCUUCUGUUAGGAAUAACAAUCUUCAGCCUGGAAUAGCAAAGGUAGAAAUAACUAUUGUCCAUUGUGAAUCCACAAUGAAUGGGAGCUGUAAGUUUACUGGUUUCAGUCAAAGGCUUUCAGCUGACAGUUGAAAGAGGAAUAAACCUAUCAGAAGUCAGUAAUUAGACCUUUUU
rnacentral:lncRNA from 1 species